rnacentral:rRNA from 1 species
AGAGUUUGAUCCUGGCUCAGGAUGAACGCUGGCGGCGUGCCUAAUACAUGCAAGUCGAGCGAACAGAUAAGGAGCUUGCUCCUUUGAAGUUAGCGGCGGACGGGUGAGUAACACGUGGGUAACCUACCUAUAAGACUGGGAUAACUUCGGGAAACCGGAGCUAAUACCGGAUAACAUUUAGAACCGCAUGGUUCUAAAGUGAAAGAUGGUUUUGCUAUCACUUAUAGAUGGACCCGCGCCGUAUUAGCUAGUUGGUAAGGUAACGGCUUACCAAGGCGACGAUACGUAGCCGACCUGAGAGGGUGAUCGGCCACACUGGAACUGAGACACGGUCCAGACUCCUACGGGAGGCAGCAGUAGGGAAUCUUCCGCAAUGGGCGAAAGCCUGACGGAGCAACGCCGCGUGAGUGAUGAAGGGUUUUCGGCUCGUAAAACUCUGUUAUUAGGGAAGAACAAAUGUGUAAGUAACUGUGCACAUCUUGACGGUACCUAAUCAGAAAGCCACGGCUAACUACGUG